GACGUAGGGCGCGAGCGUUGUCCGGAUUUAUUGGGCGUAAAGAGCUCGUAGGCGGUUUGUCGCGUCUGCUGUGAAAACCCGAGGCUCAACCUCGGGCCUGCAGUGGGUACGGGCAGACUAGAGUGCGGUAGGGGAGAUUGGAAUUCCUGGUGUAGCGGUGAAAUGCGCAGAUAUCAGGAGGAACACCGGCGGCGAAGGCGACUACCUGGCCUGUUCUUGACGCUGAGGCGCGAAAGCUAGGGGAGCAAACGGG
rnacentral:rRNA from 1 species